rnacentral:rRNA from 1 species
GACGAACCGUGCGAACGUUGUUCGGAAUUACUGGGCGUAAAGGGCGCGCAGGCGGCCUUAGAAGUCAGAUGUGAAAGCCCCGGGCUCAACCUGGGAAUGGCAUUUGAUACUCUGAGGCUGGAGUACGGGAGAGGAGAGUGGAAUUCCCAGUGUAGAGGUGAAAUUCGUAGAUAUUGGGAAGAACACCGGUGGCGAAGGCGGCUCUCUGGCCCGAUACUGACGCUGAGGCACGAAAGCGUGGGGAGCAAACAGG